GCGGUGCCGCACCUGCGUGCCGGUGAAAAGGGAACGCCGUGUAAUUCGGCGACAGUACCCGCUGCUGUGACCCCAUUUGUUGUACCGAAACGACUGAAAACCACUGCAAUAAAGCUAUUUGCGGGAAGGUGUUCGGAAUCUGGGGAAGCCAGAAAACCUGCCGCUUUU
rnacentral:ncRNA from 1 species